CUACGUGCCAGCAGCCGCGGUAAUACGGAAGGUCCAGGCGUUAUCCGGAUUUAUUGGGUUUAAAGGGAGCGCAGGCGGAUUAUUAAGUCAGUGGUGAAAGACGGUGGCUCAACCAUCGUUAGCCAUUGAAACUGGUAGUCUUGAGUGCAGACAGGGAUGCUGGAACUCGUGGUGUAGCGGUGAAAUGCUUAGAUAUCACGAUGAACUCCGAUCGCGAAGGCAGGUGUCCGGGCUGUAACUGACGCUGAGGCUCGAAAGUGUGGGUAUCAAACAGGAUUAGAUGCCCUGGUAGUCCACGCAGUAAACGAUGAUUACUAGGAGUUUGCGAUAUACCGUCAAGCUUCCACAGCGAAAGCGUUAAGUAAUCCACCUGGGGAGUACGCCGGCAACGGUGAAACUCAAAGGAAUUGACGGGGGCCCGCACAAGCGGAGGAACAUGUGGUUUAAUUCGAUGAUACGCGAGGAACCUUACCCGGGAUUGAA
rnacentral:rRNA from 1 species